GAUGAAGGACGUUACUAACGACGAUAUGCUUUGGGGAGCUGUAAGUAAGCUUUGAUCCAGAGAUUUCCGAAUGGGGAAACCCAGCAUGAGUUAUGUCAUGUUAUCGAUAUGUGAAUACAUAGCAUAUCAGAAGGCACACCCGGAGAACUGAAACAUCUUAGUACCCGGAGGAAGAGAAAGAAAAUUCGAUUCCCUUAGUAGCGGCGAGCGAAACGGGAAGAGCCCAAACCAACAAGCUUGCUUGUUGGGGUUGUAGGACACUCUAUACGGAGUUACAAAGGACGACAUUAGACGAAU
rnacentral:rRNA from 1 species